UGGGAAGUAUUGCACAAUGGGGAACCGUAGCAUGCAGCGACGCCGCGUGAAGGAAGAAGUAUUUCGGUAUGUAAACUUCUAUCAGCAGGGAAGAAGAUGACGGUACCUGAGUAAGAAGCACCGGCUAAAUACGUGCCAGCAGCCGCGGUAAUACGUAUGGAGCAAGCGUUAUCCGGAUUUACUGGGUGUAAAGGGAGCGUAGGCGGCAUGGCAAGUCUGAUGUGAAAUCCCGGGGCUCAACCCGGAGCUGCAUUGGAAACUGUCAGGCUGGAGUGUCGGAGAGGUAAGUGGAAUUCCUAGUGUAGCGGUGAAAUGCGUAGAUAUUAGGAGGAACACCAGUGGCGAAGGCGGCUUACUGGACGGUAACUGACGUUGAGGCUCGAAAGCGUGGGGAGCAAACAGGAUUAGAUACCC
rnacentral:rRNA from 1 species